UGGUUCUAUUGGUUAUAUAAUAAAAGAUAUUACCAAAUACAUGCAUUAAGCAUAUGAGAACAUAACUAAAUAUGUGGUUGUUUGCCUUUGCAGGAAAGGGUGAAGCCAUGGGUCUGUACCAUCUGUAAGACUGGCAGUGUACCUCUCUAGGAGAAAGAAACUCUUCCCACCCAGAGGCAUCUCGACAUGGCUCCAGAAGGUCUCCAGAGCCACAGCUCAGUUUCUGGUUAUGGGAGGCAUUUCUCUCCAAACAGCGUGUAGCUAUUCACCCCCACAGGAUUAAUCAUGAUCCAGAACCUGGAUGUUCUCCUGCUUAGUGCCCAGGGGCUUAGUCCAGCAAACAUUUGCAGAUGACACAUAACGCAAGCUGGCAUAACCAAACAUAAUCCCAGUAAUGACACUCUUAUCUAUAACCUGGUAAAACACAUCUGGGUUAUGAUUUCUUACCACUCAGCUCUUUAUAAUAGCUUACCCUUGGAGCACUAGCUAGGAGAGAGAAGG
rnacentral:lncRNA from 1 species